rnacentral:rRNA from 1 species
CCUACGGGAGGCAGCAGUGGGGAAUAUUGCACAAUGGGGGAAACCCUGAUGCAGCGACGCCGCGUGAGUGAAGAAGUAUUUCGGUAUGUAAAGCUCUAUCAGCAGGGAAGAAGCAAGACGGUACCUGACUAAGAAGCCCCGGCUAACUACGUGCCAGCAGCCGCGGUAAUACGUAGGGGGCAAGCGUUAUCCGGAUUUACUGGGUGUAAAGGGAGGGUAGACGGUAUGGCAAGUCUGAAGUGAAAGCCCGGGGCUUAACCCAGGGACUGCUAUGGAAACUGUUAGUCUAGAGUGCAGGAGAGGUAAGUGGAAUUCCUAGUGUAGCGGUGAAAUGCGUAGAUAUUAGGAGGAACACCAGGGGCGAAGGCGGCUUACUGGACAGUAACUGACGUUGAGGCUCGAAAGCGUGGGGAGCAAACAGGAUUAGAUACCCUUGUAGUC